GACGAACGCUGGCGGCGUGCCUAAUACAUGCAAGUAGAACGCUGAAGGAGGAGCUUGCUCUUCUGGAUGAGUUGCGAACGGGUGAGUAACGCGUAGGUAACCUGCCUGGUAGCGGGGGAUAACUAUUGGAAACGAUAGCUAAUACCGCAUAACAGUAGAUGUUGCAUGACAUUUGCUUAAAAGGUGCAAUUGCACCACUACCAGAUGGACCUGCGUUGUAUUAGCUAGUUGGUGGGGUAACGGCUCACCAAGGCGACGAUACAUAGCCGACCUGAGAGGGUGAUCGGCCACACUGGGACUGAGACACGGCCCAGACUCCUACGGGAGGCAGCAGUAGGGAAUCUUCGGCAAUGGACGGAAGUCUGACCGAGCAACGCCGCGUGAGUGAAGAAGGGUUUCGGAUCGGAAAGCUCUGUUGUAAGAGAAGAACGAGUGUGAGAGUGGAAAGUUCACACUGUGACGGUAUCUUACCAGAAAGGGACGGCUAACUACGUG
rnacentral:rRNA from 1 species